CCUACGGGAGGCAGCAGUGAGGAAUAUUGGUCAAUGGACGCAAGUCUGAACCAGCCAUGCCGCGUGCAGGAAGACGGCUCUAUGAGUUGUAACCUGCUUUUGUACGAUGUUAAAUCCCGAUACGUGUAUCGGGUUGAAAGUCUCGUACGAAUAAGGAUCAGCUAACUCCGUGCCAGCAGCCGCUGUAAUACGGAGGAUUCAAGCGUUAUCCGGAUGUAUUGGGUUUAAAGGGUGCGUAGGCGGUUCGAUAAGUUAGAGGUGAAAUCCCGGGGCUCAACUCCGGCACUGCCUCUGAUACUGGCGGGCUAGAGUUUAGUUGCGGUAGGCGGAAUGUAUGGUGUAGCGGUGAAAUGCGUAGAUAUUGCGCAGAACUCCGAUUGCGAAGGCAGCAUACCGGCGGCGAUCUGACGCUGAGGCACGAAAGCGUGGGUAUCGAACAGGAUGAGAUACCCCUGUAGUC
rnacentral:rRNA from 1 species